UGUUCCCACCCCUUAGAAUUUCCCACCGCUGAACCCUCAGUUUACCUCUUCCGUCUCCUACCACUAACCCACGACCAGAUAUCCCCUGAGGAAAAGAAAAACACGACCAGAUCUGUGGAAACCCAGAGCCGCCACCUUUAGAUCCCCCGGAAGUGCCUUCCCGGUGAAUCCUAUACAGCGACCGGCGACACCUCUCCUCCCCUAGCUGGUACAAGGUCCUCGUCUGCUCUAAAAGUUUGUGACGUGCUGCGCAGAGACCCGAUCCAGCCAGGUUCGGUGCAAGGGUUGAUUUCGCCACAAGCCCAUGGCGGAUCAUAGCAGAUCUCCUUAGUCAAGGAUCCAUAGGUAUUUCCUGUAUGAAGUUUGUGGAGCCUUCCAAGUACAACACGCAGAAGUUCACUACAGCUACACUCUAUUCAAGCAGCAAAGUGAUGGCCAAUUCUUUAGCUAACAUUUUCAGGCUUCAAAUAAAAUGCAGCAAAACUUCAAGCUGUACUGCCUAGAAGAGAAGUGGUAAAGCUUUUGAAGAUGCAUCAUGAGGAUGUUGCUGCAUCUGACUGGCUGUGCUUACUUUUUAAAGCUAAUAAGCAAUAAUUAUGAUGAUCGCUAAUUCCCCUGAAUCCCUGAUGCUAACAAGAUACAUAUUUUGGCCAGCAUUGAACAACUACUAACAGUGAUGCAAAUGGUUUGGAAUCCACCUUCAGUUUGUAAGACUAGCUAAAUGAAAUCAUCUUUCUGAACAGAUGUCACUGAUAUUUUGAUUUUUUUGUAGAAAGUUUUGUUUUGCAGAAUUUUGAUGAAUCUUGGUAAAAGAUCACAAGGAAACAAAUCUACUAGGUGCUGUGAACACCCGUCGGUGUUGAAGUCCACGCAGAGCUUAGAUAGAUUCUAGCUUGUUAGAAUUGCUUGUGUACUUAAGUAUUUUCUUUUGUUCAUGAUAACUUUGCCCCUCUUUUGCAUGUACGUACAGUUUAGUUGUAAAGACCAAUUUCCCAAUCUUUCCGUUGUAAAGACAAAUUUCGCUUGAUUAAUACUCCCUCCGGUCCUAAAUAUAAGACAUAUAAUUUCUGGCA